AUGAAUGGAGGAGGUGGAAGGAACGGUGGCUCCAUGAAUGGAGGAGGUGGAAGGAACGGUGACUCCAUGGACGGAGGAGGUGGAAGGAAUGGUGGCUCCAUGAACGGAGGAGGUGGAAAGAAUGGUGGCUCUGUGGAUGGAAGAGACUCAGACACUAGAGUGAUCGGAAGUUCAAGAUAUCCCUCCAAGGAGAAAAUGUCAAAAGAGACUGUCAGUUAUGUAGUCACAUAUUCUUAAUGAUUUAAAUAUAACAGAUAUAGUUGAGGACAACCACAGAAAGGGCUUUGCUGACCAGGUUUUCAGGUUGUGCAGAAAAGCAGAGAAGUCUACUCAAUCUCCGCAACAAUGACCAUUUCAAGGUUUACUCAUCUACUGUCAUUCAGCCUCCAGAAAAGCUUACUAUAAGAUGAAGAUUGUAUUUCACUUCACAUUGUGGUGUAUGUUUUUUUU